rnacentral:rRNA from 1 species
AACGAACGCUGGCGGCAGGCUUAACACAUGCAAGUCGAACGGGUGUAGCAAUACAUCAGUGGCAGACGGGUGAGUAACACGUGGGAACCUUCCUAGAGGUACGGAACAACUCAGGGAAACUUGAGCUAAUACCGUAUAAGCUCUUGCGAGGAAAGAUUUAUCGCCUUUAGACGGGCCCGCGUAGGAUUAGGUAGUUGGUGGGGUAAUGGCCUACCAAGCCUACGAUCCUUAGCUGAUCUGAGAGGAUGAUCAGCCACACUGGGACUGAGACACGGCCCAGACUCCUACGGGAGGCAGCAGUGGGGAAUCUUGGACAAUGGACGCAAGCCUGAUCCAGCCAUGCCGCGUGAGUGAAGAAGGCCUUCGGGUUGUAAAGCUCUUUUACCAGGGACGAUAAUGACGGUACCCGGAGAAUAAGCCCCGGCAAACUUCGUGCCAGCCGCCGCCGUAA